GACGAACCGAGCGAACGUUGUUCGGAAUCACUGGGCUUAAAGGGCGCGUAGGCGGGUUGUCAAGUCUGGGGUGAAAUCCCGCGGCUCAACCGUGGAACUGCCUUAGAUACUGACGACCUCGAGGGAGGUAGGGGCGAGCGGAACGGGUGGUGGAGCGGUGAAAUGCGUUGAUAUCAGGAGGAACACCAAUAGCGAAGGCAGCUCGCUGGGACGUUACUGACACUAAGGCGCGAAAGCGUGGGGAGCGAACAGG
rnacentral:rRNA from 1 species